CAUGCUCUGUCUCUCUCUGUCUCAAAAAUAAAUAAAUAAAUAAAUAAAUAAAUAAACAAACAAACAUUUUUAAAACAUAAAAUGAACAACAGGGAGAGAAGAUGAACUUACUAACCAUCCUCUUUCAUAAGUGUCUUUCUAGACUCCCCGCAACUCAGCAGUCACACAGAGACCAGCAGGUCCAAGUUUAAGCCUGCGGCCUGGGCUUCCCUGAACUCCCUACAACUCAGGUUUCUUGAGGCUGCACCAUCUAUGCCCGGGAGUCAACAAAAAGGUCCCCCAUCACUCUCCCUAGGGGAUAACAGGAUCCAAGCCCUGCCAGCAGUGGCCACCAAGAAAAAGAGCUGGAAGUUAUAGGGUUGACAUGGGAACAGGGGGGAGAAAUAGAAGGAAAGGAACUGGUGAUCUUCAAACGGUGAGACCUUCCAUGGAGUAACCCAAGUUCGCUGCCCCACCACUUUUUCAUCUGUAAAACCAAGGGUUUGACUACAUCCAUGUGUCCCAAAGUGUGAUCUAUAAAAUACCAGCCUGGAAAAAUGGUGAUAAACAGCCCAAACAAAAAGGGUGUUCCAUGUGCAAAUAGAUGUGUAAAAUGACAUGUUAAGCAAAUCUAAAGCCAUGUGAGGCCUCUUGCCAUCCUGUGUUCCAAUGUAUGCCAUGACUCUUGGGGUGUGGGCAUAGGGGGAUGAAUUCAGCAUUUCCCAAAUGUAUUUUUCCAGACACCCCAUUGCUUCCCAGAAUACCCGUUACAAACCUGGGGGCCAAGAGUCCCCAGGACACAUUUGGGAAACAACUGUACCAACCAGCUACCCAACAUCCCUUCCUGUUGUGACAUCACUUCAGGAUUUUGAGAACAUACGGGCAUAUGUCCUCAUGUUCAAGGAUGAUGAGCACUCAUCACUGCCCAGUGGGCACAGAGGAGGCACCCAGAAUCCACAUGCAGGCAUGCCUUGCUUUACAAAAGUCUCCAGGAAGAGGGUCAGCCCAAAGGACCUGGGCCCCCUGAUGCUGCCACUGGUGUCUGUGCUGGAAAAAGAUGCUGGUGGCUCUUCCCCACUCUUUCUGCAGCAGCCCCGGGGACCCCCUACUCACUGCUCUCUGAGAACCAGUCCCUCCCUCCCCUGGUGCUUGCCCUCCAUGUCCACCGAAUGUCCUGGAAAACCGUACUGAAGCAUAGCCUACUCCCAGCCCUCAGUCCCAACCAGAAUCAGAUGCAGAGGUGACAUGGAUAUUGCCAGGCUGGGUCAUCCAAGGUGGCCUAUCCAAAUGUCCCCAGAAGGGAGCUGUCACAGGCUAACUGUAGAGGUGAGCGAGAGCAUCCUACCAAUGAGCAUGCACAUGCACACCCCCCAUGGGCAUCCAGUGCACACUGGUGUGCAAAUAAUGGUGCUCCCUCUGGUAAGGGACUGCACUUUCCUUAUCUUUUAUCCCUCCCCCAGCGAUGCGUAGAGUCACCGUGUAGCAUGUCUGCAACAAAUGUGGAUUGGGGCGAGUGUGCACUCCUAUGCAUGCGCCCAUUCUCCAAAAGCCAUUAAGGAGGAAGGAAGUGGAGAGAAAAGGCCGAAAGGGCAGAUAAAACAGGAGAGGUGGAGAGAAGGAGGGCUGGAAGAAGAGGGAAGGGGAGCUAGCACACUCUAUGCAAUGCCCCCUUCCCCAUGCAUGUUCCUCUUAGCCUCACCACAAUCCUCGCAAACAAGUGGCCUCAUUCACCCUUCACACCUGCAGAAACUGAGCCUCAGGAAGCUUGGAGGGCUUGCUGGAGAUGACACAGCACCUAAAGGCCAUGGGAGCAUUUGAGCCCAGGCCUGUCUGACCAGCAGGCUGGAGAGAAGAGACUCCUUCCUUCUGUAGGCUGAGGUGAAUCAGCGAGGACUCUUUCUGGGAACAGAGCAGGUGGCACCAGGACUCAGGGACACUGGAAUGACCCAAUGCUGGGGUCAGAGCACUCCAGGCCAGGGCUCUGUGGCAGCAAUGACCUGGGCUCUUACACUAACAUCCCCAUCCCUGUCAAGGGCCGGCCUGGGACAGAGGCAGCCCUAGAGUCCUGGGCUGUUGGUGCUCUGCAGGAUGAUUAGCAAGAUAAAGACAGCAAGUGUUUUCAGGUUGAUCACACUUGAUUCAUGUGCUAGCACCCAAGAAUCUUGCCAUCCAGGUCACUCUUAUCAAAGAGGAAAAUGAUUGGGUAGAUUACAUCUUGUCAGAAUAUCCAUAAAACAUCUGUACUAAUCCUCCUUGGAUGUUUUGUGCUUUUAAAAAGUGCUUAACCCCAAAAUAAGAGUAAUGGUAAAAUUUCAGAUACAGAGAUAGAUCGUGUGUGUGUGUGUGUGUGUGUGUGUGUGAGUGUUUCUGAGUCUUUAGCUGCAAGCCACAAAUAUGAGCAGCCCUGUUUCAAGAGCUCAUGGCUUGGUGGGAAAGAUAAACAUAUCAGUGUAGAUAGCUCCAAAGUGUCACAGAUUCUGUGAGAGAAGGGAAACAGACAAAUGUGGAACACAAAGGAAGGACAGGCCGGUUCCACCUGAGGCAUGGGAUGGAUUAGGAAGCCUUCAGAGGAGAAGGGAAGGUUGUGUUGGCCACGCAGGAGACUAGGGCUGGACCACGGAGGGUCUUAAGCCCCAGCUAAGAAAUGGGGCUUUGUGUCACAGGCCACAGGAAGCCACCGGAAAAACAGGUCAUUCUCUAUCAUAAAGAUAAGGCAAUGAUCAAAUUAAACAGGAUGAAAAUGCAUUGUGGAAAUGUACAAGGUCAUUCUGUCAUCCUGGAGUAGUAGCCCAUUACUCCGGCCACCCCAUUGCCCCAUCUGAAAUUCACAUGACUCAGCCCAUCCUGCUCAUUGGGAAAUGGAUCCAAUCCACUCACCAGAAGAAAGGACAGUAGGUCUGAGCUGCAAGCCAACUGUUACAUAAACAUAAGAGAAAAACUUCUUCAAUGGAAGCAAUUCCUGAUGGUUUUAUCUUGUUUAUGUUCCUUUGGAAGAGAUGCUGUUUAAUUGUUUUCCAUUUCUCACCUGAGCUUUCUUAUCAUCAUAGCAACAGAGAUGCCUCAAAGGUCAAGGGGUUUGGGGGAGGGGGAAGGAGCUGUGCCACAAAUAGAACUACAGGCACUUGAACAUCUGCGAUCAUGUCAACAUGUUAUGGAAAGUUGUGGUUCUGGAAUUGGACAGAGUUGAACAAAAACCUCCCCACUAGCACUAACCACCUCUGUGACCUAGGAAGAGUUAACUUCUCUGAUUCAGUUCUAAUCCACAAAAUGAAGAUUAAACUAUUUUAAUUUAUGGUGUUUUGAAUGUGAAAUUCAAUAAGGAUAUAAGCUUGUCAGGAACUGUGAGGGCACUGAGAUUUUACCUGCUUGUGAGGUAAGCCAAGGCUGUAAGAGUUCCAUGGGUGCUGACAGAAGACACAGGGCAGAGGGCUUUCUUACUCACAGCAAGGGCAUAGACAUUGGCAUAUUUGUGUGGGCACUUCCUGUUCCCUAGCCCCAGGUGGACAAUGAGGGUGGUCCCCAAUGGAUACUUGUCCACAUGGUAGGUUGAAUUCCAGAAGAAGAACCCUGAACUAAGAGAACCAGAGUCUCUUCUGAUGGGCAGUAAGCACGUCUGCCCCUCUGAUCUGGAAGAAGGUACUAGCUCAGUCUUCCAAAGCUGUUUGCUAUGCAAACUUCCUUGAAAAGAUAGUCCAGAACAGCCAGGUCAUGCCUCACAAGAUGUGAGAAAUUUGAGAGACCCACAGAACAUUUUUACCCCAACAAGAUAGGCACUGCCUAACAGUACUUGGUGGCCCAUGAGUGUUCGGUACUUACCGAAUAACCGUGUACAUACAUUAAAUUCUAACAAUGUGCUAAGUAGCUGGGCUCGGAGCCCAUUGAAAUAUCCCCACCUUGUCACCAGCCAACCAAAAAGCAUAUUCUGCUUCCUAAGGCAUGUGGGGGAGUUUCAAGGGGAAAACUUUUCUCCAUCCUUCUGCUAAUCCCUGAGAGAUGUAGCUUCAGGUUUUGUGGGUUUUAUUAGUUUGCUGUCACAGGAACAAAUAGAGGUAUAUACUGUGGGAAUGUCUCAGUUCAUGGGUGAACUCAUAAAUCCAGAGCCCUGAAAAUGAGACUCAAUAGAAUUCUCCAGCUUCUAUUUCUAAGGUCACCCAGUGAUCAAGAGGUCUCUCUUACCAACAUUGUAGAUCUCAGAGGAUGCUUAAGAUAAGCAAACCCCCCACCCAAUCUUUAACUUUAAACCAAACACUUUGGCCACCUUUUAUUUUUCAGAUAGCUGAAAUCGUUCUUCUUUUCCCCCCAAGUCAAAGAGUAGGAAAGUGUUCUACAUUCAGCUCUCCAAAGAUACAACACUCUGGGGGCUCCCUUGGAUGCCCCAAGGGCAGGGCACCCCUUCCUCUGGGGCAGGAUCAUUUAGGUCACAGCCGCUGCUUGUCGGACAUUGUCCUCUAAGGGUGACAAGUGGAGACAUUAAGACAAAAUGAUGGUGAGCAUCCAGAACUCAGCAUCCAAGCAGUGACAUACCUUCAUUCAGUCCCCAAAUGUCCCCUGAGUUUAUACCACACAGUAGGCACCAUGCCAGGGACUUAGGGCGAGCAAGUCACUGCCACUGCCUGGAGGACACUCAUCACAACAGGAAAUAUGUUAAAACUGCUCAGGUUGCACGGGGUCCACACUGGAAGAAAAAUGAAGAGCCUAAUGGAGGCCAGGGAAGCCUUCUUGGAGGAGGAACUCUAAGCCUAGUUCUGAAGGAAUCAGCCAGUCACAGGGGUCAGAAAUGCAAAGAAAUAAAGGUGAGUCCAGAAACUGCCAGUGCCAUGUUCUUCUGGAGCAUGUGGUCUGCGCAGAAGUGAAGGAUGAGGCUGGACCCAGGGACUGCAAAGAACCAAGUAAUGAGGGGUCUGGCCAUCAUACUGUGGAGCCUGGAUGUCGUCUUGUAGGUGAUGGAGAGCCCUUGGAGGGGUUUACAGGAGGAAAUGGGGUGUAGAUGUAGUCUGAUUUGCACAUUACAUUGGUAGCCAGAGGUGAAGAUGAAUUAGAGGCCUGGGGAGAAAGAUGGCUUAGAAAUUGUUGAGGCCUGGAUAAGGAAAAGCACCUUGUAACAGAUCCCUUAGGAUCAAAGCAAAAUUCUCUUUUGACACAGUUGUGAAUUCACCUGACUCUGUAUUGGUUAUGGCGUGCCAUGCACACAGAAAACUACAGCCCCUGGAGCGGAAGUUCAUACCAGAUUUAUUGGGUUUGUAGAUGCAGACUGUUCAUCAGCCAUUGUCACUAAAAUCUACAAAGAAUGAAUCAAGGUCUUCUGGCAUCCUACAGUCACAUCUGCACCUCCUCUGGGACAAAAGAUACUUGACUAGAACCCCAGAGGGGAAAUCAAAACAAAGGAUUCAGAGGGGCUACCUCUUAAAGCCUGCCCAUAGAGCACUUGAGAUGCCCAGGGAAGGCAUUCUACCCAAACUUCCCACCCCAAGGAAGUCAGAAAUUCUACUACUCAAGUUUUAUUCUUUAGGAUGAAAAGUCGCAAAGCCUUCUGCCACACACAUCCUUCCAGGCACGGGAGAAAUGGUGGGUAAGCCUCUGCACAUCCUGUCUCUGACCAGAGGUAUAGGGCAUGAGAGCCUGGAGGUGGGAGAGCAGAAUGGGGAGCUGAGGCGUGUUUGCGCGGUGCAUGGUGGGAUAGAAACGGGAGGGCAGAGAAGGAAGACAUUUCUGACUUAAUUACUUUGCAAAGGUUCAGCUCUGAAGCCUUUCUCAGGUCAGAACCUUGUCCUAGCGCACAGAGGACUAUGAUACAGAAAAGAGGCUGUGCCUUGAAGUCCAGCAAAAUAGCUGCACAUGUGCCAGACAAGGCCACGGAAACCAAUCUGCAUACUUAUGUCCAACCUUCUAAUUUCCCUUGGAGAGGAGAAAUGGGGUCUUGGAGCUGCCAAAGGGGGCAGGCUCCACAUAUUUUGUGAAUACCAGCACCUGUGCCAUACUAGUAGCUAUGCAUAUACCAGCCUCUGGGCAACGCCCAGCACCUGUGCAAUACAAACAUAUAUGCAAUACUGAUACCUGAGCAAAACUGGCAGCUGGGCACCACUGGGUAACUGGGCAGAAGUGAGCACCUGUGAAGCCCUCCCGCUCCUUGUGUCCCUGGCAGUCAUUGUUGACUGAUUGUGUCGUUCUCCCACUGGAACCAGGCUGGGCUUCACCAUCUUCCCCACACCUCGCUCCUGGCAGCCUGAGCCAGACUGGAAGUGACCUUGCUGUCAUCUUGCCACCAUCUAAAGAAGAUAAGCUGGUUCCUGGGAGUUGACGUGGAGCCGAAUCAGGAGGCUCCCCUCUUUGAGUCUUCAUUUUCUCAUCAGUAAAAAGGGAAUAAAAAGCCCUAGCCUCCCCGCUUCAUGAAACUAUUAGGAGUAGGCAUAGCCAGUGCUGAGACAGCGUUGCUAAUGUGUGACGGGUGGAAAGCCUCCACCACCGGUCCUCCUGUCCUUGCCAAUACCCUGUUGAAACGUACCAUGCAAAACAUAUGGAGGGUCCCCCCACCUACACACAGACAUAUUCAAUUUUCAAAAUAACAAAGCUGGAGAGUUUCAACAGCCAAGCUGAACUGGAAUUCUUGGCAGCCAACAGCAGCUCCCCCCAAGGGAGGUAGAAGGAAGUUUUCUAACUUGUUUAUCCCACUUAUUAUUAAUCACCUGCCAUUGAAAAAUGAUUCUAAGAGGAAAAAAUGUGCCGCUGAGUUGCAAAUCAAAGAAAUAUGUAUAUGCAUUUUAUUUUAUUAAUUAAGGCAGAGAUUAUCUAAAAGAAGCUUACUCAAAGCCACUAAGGGUACAAAGGGCCCACACUGGAAGGAGUAGACUUGGCAGUCCCUUUGGCAGUGUGCCAAGAAUCUCAUAAAUGUUCACCUUCUUUGACCCUGAAAUUCUAUCUCUAGAAGUCUAUCCUGAGAAACUAUCUUGAAAUGCAGACCAAGAUUUCAGUUAAAAAGCAUCUUUAAUCGCUCUAUUUACAGUAAGGGAAAUAUAAAACUGCUUAAGUGUUUAUCAUUAGGAGAAUGUUAAGAAAAUUAUGAUGUGAACUUGCAAUUAGAUAUUCUGAAGCAAUAAGAUGAUGUUACAGAGAAUUGUUAAUAAGUUCAAGAAAUGCUUGUGAUAUAAUGUUAAGGGGAACACAUCAAAAUACAUGAUACACCCCCCACCCUGCCCUGUGCAAACUCAGUCAUGCUAAAAAGGCACAGAAAAGAGAGGAAAGCCCACCUGCAUGGUAACAGUAACCACUCCAGGUGCUAAGACCAUUAAGAGAAGUUUCCACAAGAAUCAAGGAAGCUUUUCUGAGACUCCUCGUCCUUUGGAGGUGGAGACCAGAGCUUCACUGAGGCCUGUUCAGUCUUCGCCCUCGGGGUUCGGUACCUUCGUGGGCUCCCUCACCCUGCUGUGUCUCUUGUCAAGGGCUCCACACUGUCACAUCAUGAGUCCACACAGAGAGACUGCAAACCGGAAGUCUACCUCUCUGUCUCAGUGACUGCAGAGGACUUUGGCUCCUCUGGACAAGCAGAGGUUCUGCUGCAGGCAGUUACAGGUAUGAGUCAUCAUUUUCUGCUAUUUCUUUCCUAUCAAGUACAUUUCCAAGUCUUCUACGAAAAUUAUAUAAUCAGGAUAAAAAAGUAGUAUAAAUUAAAUGAGCAUCAGUCAAGAAUCAGCUCUGCUGUAAAAUGCAGAGUAUUCUACAGCCCACCUUCCUCCCUAAGCCCCGGGCAAAUCCCUAUGUGAAUUCCCUCAGUGAAGGUUAUCUACCCAGGAGAGGUGGUCUGUAGAGCCAAACAGAGAAACAGGGCAGGAGUAUUGCCCAAACCACAAACAAGACCUUGUGAAAGUUGAUUUAGACCUAUGCCCAGCCACACUAUUCCACGAACACACCAUCCAUGUUUGGAAGCACUGCGCACCGAGGUGGCAAGACAGAAGACAAUGGGGGCCCUUGCUGCUAGAAGGCACGGAUGAGGUUAUACAGCCCAGCUCUCUCACUGAACAGAUGGGGACACCAAGGAGACGUAGGGUACAGGCUUGUCAGAUACAAUACAAUGCCUUGGAACUGAGCUAUGACAAACAUUUAUAAGCUUACUAAUCACUGACUGUGUACCCAUUGUGAUCUACUGACUCACUUAACUCUCACAGCAGUUCUUUGAGGUAGGAACCCCUUUUACAGAUGAGGAAACUGAGACACAGGGACACUCGGAGGUCAUCCAGAUUGCAUGACAUGACAUGGCAGAGAGCCAGGAUUUGAACCCAGCCUUCAGCCCAUGAACUUAAUCAGCACACAGUUUCUCAUAAAGGGCUGAUUCUGAAAUGAAAGGGCUGCACUGAGUUUCUGGGAGCCUGAUGAUUGUGUGCCUGCAGGAGAAUUGAUCUAAGAGUGUCUAGAUACUCUUUCUGUCUGGCAUGAGGAGAGUGGUCUCAUCUGCAACCCUGACCCAACCAAGCCAGCAUCUCUAGCCCCUGAACUAGCAUUUAUUCCAACUGAUGUAAGUGUUUUCCCAAGCAGACUCCCAGAGGCUAGGCAAAUAGAUUCUCAGAGACACCCCACAAGGUAUAUGUUCCUUCAGGGUAGCCCUGCUUCCCCCAGGAUGUCUGCGUGGGAUGGGGCACUAGAAGAGGGAAAGGUACUGCCUUCCAGAAAUAUCCUACCUGGAUGCAGACCCUCAGUUCUUAGAAUAACGGAAAACCCUGAGGAUGGUGUUGAGCAAGAGGCAAGCUGGGGAGCUUUGUUCAUCGGCCAUGGCAAAGCAAAUCUGAGGCCCUGAGAGAGCACAGCAGCACUUGUACACCAUAGUAGAACAGGCCUUCAUUUUGAGUCACAGAGCAUGUACAAAGAACCUUCUGUGGCCUGCUCUUAUAUGGACAUUUGGUCUACGGAGAUGAAUGAGGGAGGUCACAAAGACCAAUAGUGAUAGAAAGGAACUCAAAAACUUCAAUACAUCUUGCUAAAUACAGAGACAGAGGAGACCACAGGAUGUUUCCGUAUGUGACCCAGGAGACAGUGGGAUGUGGGAGAGAAGCAAGGGGAAGGAAGGAGAAGGGAUAGAAGAGAAGAGAGGGAUCAGUCAAGCAAAGGUCCCUGGGAGAAGAAUUCUGCUUGUCAGUCUGAAAAAAUAAGUAGGAAUUACUGAGUUACCAUCAUUUGAAUUAACAAAAGAGAAUCUUGAAAAGAGGUGGAUGACAGACAGAUAUGGGUCUGGUAUGCCUAAAGUGCUAGAAGAAUGUUCAACAACAGCCUUGAGGGCCAAGCUAUGAAGUAUGCAUUUCACUCAAUAAUCAUUGGGACACUCUGGAGGACUCUAGACAGGAGGAGGCUUAAUCAGUUUUGAAAUUUAAAAACACCACCUUUAGUGUCAUGACAGAUGGGCUAGAAGGACUCUUCUCCUUCCACAGGCCAAAGUCAUGGAAAUUCCCACUACUUCUUAAAAUCCCUAAUUGAGAAGAAUAUGUUCUCUUCAGAAAAGAACUUAAUAGCACACAAAUAUGUUCCCUGGGUGCCUCACCAUAUUUCCCUGGGUAUUUCUUAAUAUUCAGUGAUUAAUACAUUAGCAUCCACCAAUACAAAAAUACCUAUAGCAUAUUAGCCUGUAUCCCAUUUUCAGAUUAAAUGACAAAGCAAAUGAAGGCCCUAAAAUCAUGAAGCAACGAAAGUACAUUUAAUGUAUUUUUAAUGUUAUUUUUAUGUACUUUUAGUACAUAAUGGCUGACUGAAUGGCUCCAGUCAAGAUGGUGUAAAUAAAUUCCCUCUUUAGGUGCAUAAUAUCGUAGUUUGAAUAAAGCCCAAAAGAGAGAAAGCAGCCUCAAAAGUAAGGAAGGUAUUUAUUUCUGUGGGGUCAGAAAAGGAAUAGAUACGUAGAGAGGCACCAGCUUGCUGGCUCAGAGAUGGUUCUGGCUGGGUGGUAAGAAGUAAAAGUAUUCACCUGGAAAGGGAGACCCAGAGUUUAGAAAGUCUGACUUUCAGAGAAAACUGGCCCUCGGAGAACCAAGAAGCAUGAACAAAAGUAAGCUCACACCUUGACACAUCCUAGUAAAACCACAGAGAACAUGGGGAUAGAGAACCCCUCCAACAGAAUAACAAUUGAGCUAAUGGAAAGUGUCUUAACAACAAAGAAAAUCAGAAAGCAAUGAAUUACCUACAAUACACUGAGUAGAAACUAUCCAAGAAAUGAAGAAUGUGAACAAUAAGAUGGGAAAAGAAGUUUUAAGAGAUGAAAUAUAUAUAAAGCAUUCAGGAAGGAUAUCUAAAAUACAUCUAGUCAGAUUUCUAGAAAGAGAAGAGAGAAACUGAAGGAGACAUAUUUUUAGAAUUAUUAAAAGACACCAAUCUUCAGAAUAUAGAAAUCUUAAAGAUUCUCAAGUAGGAAAAUACAAGGAGCCCACAACUAGGCAAAUCAUAGCAAAAUGGCUAAACAAUGAAGACAACAAGACUAUAUUUGAAAUAAUGAUAGAAAAAAUAAAGAUUAAAUUCAAAAGUAUCAGCAAUUAUUUUGACAGAUAACUUCUCAACAGAAAAAAAAAAGCAGCCUUGAAAACUGAAAUAAUACUUUCAAAGAGAAAGUAGAGAAAACUGUCAAAAUUGGAUACUUAUCAAAACUACUCUUCAAGAACAUGAUGAAAGAAAGACAUUUUCAGAUGAACAAGAAACUCUCACUAAAGGACAUUCUAAAAUAAUUCAGGUAGAGAACAGAAUUCCAGAUGGAAAGUAUAAGAUGCAAAAUAAAAUAAUAAGCAAAAUAUGUGGCAAAUAUAUAAGUAAAUCUAAACAAAUUCAGACUUUAUAAAACAAUAAUAAUAAUGUCUUGUGAGAUUAGAAAUAUGGUAUGACUAAAAUACUGAACAUCAACCCUAUAUUUAGAAAGGGAAGUUAAAAUUAAAAUGUUCUUGAGGUUUUAUUGUUUAAGAAAAUUACAAAGAUAUUAACUAAAUUUUGACUCAUAAGUUAAAUAUGCAUAUUAAAUAACAUUACAUAAAAAUGUAUAAAUUCCAAAUUGUAAGCAAAAUAUGGAAUGAGAAAAAAUAAGCAAUCAAUUCAAAAGAAGGCAAGAAAAACAGAAAAGAUUAGAGAGAAAGCAAAAAGGAGGUUAUUGGAAAUCAAUCUUAUUCUGUCAGAAAUAUAAAAAUGUAAAUUUAUUAAGGUCUCCAUUAAAAAAAAGAUUGUCAAAAUAGAAAAGUAAAAACAGCUAUAAACAACACACAAGAUGAAAGUAAAACAGGACAAAAAAAAUCUAACCAUUUAAAUAACUGAUUUCCCCCAAAACCAAUAAAAUACUUAGAAACUUGUAUGCAUCUAAAAAUAUGGUCUCUAAAUAUAUAAAACAAGUUGACAGAACUGCAAGAAAACAUAGACAAAUCCAGCAUUAUUUUAGGAGAUAUUGACACAACUGUCUUGGGAAUAGCUAGAUUAAGCAAGCAAAAAAUAAAACAAAAAAACAAAAAAUAGAGACAUAAAAGAUCUGAAAAGCACACCAAUCUUGACAUAACCGAGAUUAGAUAGAUGAUAGAUAGAUAGAGAGAUAGAGAGAUAGAUAAAUAGAUAGACAAUUAAUAUUCAUAACAUUCAACAGUUUUGAAAUGCACAUUCUAUUCAAGUGUACAUGGAAUAUUUACAAACUUGUCCAGGCAUUAAGACCAAAACAAACAAACAAAAAUGUCUCAAAUACUUGUAAAGAAUUGGUAUCCUGGUAUCUUCAAACUACAUUCUCUGACCACAAUGUAAUUAAAUUAGAAAUGAAUAAUAAAGACAAUUACUGGAUGUAAAUUCAACAACAUACUUCUGAAUAGCAAGGAUCAAAUAAGAAAUCAUAAUGGAUACUAGAAAACAUUUCAAACUGGAAGAAUGUAGAAGAAUGCACAUCAACAUGUAAUGGAAUGCUAAUUUGAUAUAUAGAUAGAAAUCUAUCACCUUAAAUACUCAUAUUAAGAACAAGAAAGGUUAAUGAGCUAAACAUAUGACUUAAAAAGAACAAUAAAACAUACCUAAAGAAAAUGAAAGGAAGAGUAUACUAAAGAUGAAAGCAAAAAUAACUGAAAAAUAAUCAAAACAGUAUGGU